rnacentral:lncRNA from 1 species
AUGUCUUCUCCCAAUGUCACUGAACCCCACCUCUCUUCCUUCCUGUUGGUUAGGAAUUCCAGGAUUGGAAGCUGCACAACGCUGGCUAGGCUUUCCCUUCUGUGUUGUAUAUCUGAUUGCUCUUGUUGGAAAUCUUAUCAUUCUAUUUGUUAUCUGGACUGAUAAAAACCUUCACCAACCCAUGUUCUACUUUCUGGCCAUGCUGUCAGUCAUGACCUGAGUCUUUCUACAUCUACUAUCCCCAAGAUGUUGGGCAUCUUCUGGUUCAGCCUUCAGGAGUUGUGCUUUGGGUGCUGUGUUGCUCAAGUCUUUUUUAUCCAUUUUUUUUGCAGUCAUGGAGAGCAUUGUACUUCUUGUCAUGGGAUUUGAUCGCUAUGUGGCUAUUUGCAACCCCUUCAGGUAGACCAAGAUCCUCACCAACAGAAUUACUGGUGUGAUUGCUAUGGUUGUGGUUCUUAGAAGCUUAUGUAUGAUUGCUCCCAUCAUUUUUCUCCUCAUGAGGCUGCCUUACUGUGGACAUAGAAUCAUCCCUUAUACCUAUUGUGAGCACAUGGGAGUGGCUCGUCUGGCUUGUGCCAGCAUCAGUGUCAAUGUCUCUCAUGGUCUUGGGAAUAUUUUUAUCUUGUUUCUGGAUAUGUUUCUUAUCAUCAUCUCCUAUGCUAGAAUUUUAUGCACAGUCUUUCACCUCCCUUCCCAAGAGGCCCACCUGAAGGCUCUUAAUACCUGUAGCUCCCAUAUCUGUGUCAUCUUAGCAUUUUUUGGCCCAGCUCUCUUCUCCUUUCUCACUCAUCGCUUUGGUCAUGGCAUCCCACAGUAUAUCCAUAUUCUCCUGGCUAAUCUCUAUAUAUAGUCAUUCCCCCUGCUCUUAACCCAGUCAUUUAUGGAGUUAGGACCAAGCAAAUCCAGGAGCGGGUAGAAAGUCUCUUUACUAAA